rnacentral:tRNA from 1 species
CCGGACGUAGCGCAGAGGCAGGCGCACCGCCUUGCCAAGGCGACAACGUCGGUUCGAAUCCGACCGUCCGGGC